rnacentral:rRNA from 1 species
AUUGAACGCUGGCGGCAUGGCUAAAGCAUGCAAGUCGAACGAGAACCCUUCGGGGGGAAAGUGGCGAAAGGGCGAGUAAUGCGAUCGAACGUACCCUGAGGUGGGGGAUAGCGUCGGGAAACCGGCAGUAAUACCCCAUGUGCUCUACGGAGGAAAGCUUUGGCGCCUCAGGAGCGGCGAUCGUCCUAUCAGGUAGUUGGUGAGGUAACGGCUCACCAAGCCGAAGACGGGUAGCGGGUGUGAGAGCAUGACCCGCCGCAUCGGAACUGAGACACUGUCCGGACUCCUACGGGAGGCUGCAGCGACGAAUCUUCCGCAAUGGACGCAAGUCUGACGGAGCAAUGCCGCGUGUGGGAUGAAGCAUCUUCGAUGUGUAAACCACUGUCAGGUCCUAGGACCAACGACCAGGACCAGAGGAAGGGCCGGCUAACCUCG